UAGACCGUAGAUCGUGAAGUUGUCCGAUACCAUUUUAACUUGGCUCAACAGCUGGGUGACCAGGAAACACCCAGCAGCAGAUAAGAACGAACGAGAACAGCCCUGUUGACAAUGUGAGCACCCCACAGCAGGGACAGCCAUUUUCAGACGGCAUCUCCAGGGUUGGAGGGUGCAUCAGAAAGCUGGUUCCCAGGCAUGGAUUUAUGUAGCCCCAUGGGAGCAGCUGGGGAGUGUGUGAGCGUAACAUGAAAAUCGUUAAUUCUGAGUUUCUCUAGCAUCUCUGAGGAGAAUCAUCUCUUUCCUCAUAUCUAUCCUCACACCACCCCCUCCCCAUCCGGAACCUCAAGGAUCAUUUCUGGUUCUUGCAUUUGGGUCGAAGAAAGUCGCAACCUGAAUGCCCAGCGUCCUCUGAGCCAGGGUGUGUUUCCCGAGUUGGCCAAGUCCCCUGCAACAGCAGGCUCUGGGGCUGUCGCGCCAUGUUCCCGCACUCUCAGGCAUAAUAGAAUGAUCUGACGUCUGGGGGCUCUAGAAACCCGAAGACCUGGGUUCGAAUCAUGAGUCUACGACUUCCUCUCUAUGAGCUUCCGGGUGGAGACCAUCUUCAUCAGCUCCUCCCCCCAUGCGUGGACAGACACACUCCACGGAGAAUUAUCCACGGAAAGGAAUUAAAGAAAGGUGCUUGGCCUGUACAUCUGUGUGUUGCAUGUAUGCAGUGACUGUAGAGGCCAGAAGAAGCCGUCAGAACCCUUGAAACCCGAGUUAAUGAAAGUGUCGAGCUCCAGGGUAAUCCUAAAGUCCCUCCAUACCAUCAAGCAAAAUAUCCUAAAACUUCGUCUUAAAAACAAAAAACCGGGAAAUGCCACACCCACUCCAGUAGAGUCUGUGUGAUAUGAAGCCCUUGUGCGUCGUUUCUAUCCAGAACAGAGGCUUGUGCCUGGAAUGGCUCGGCCUCCCGGAGGUCCUGGCCGUCUCCCUACAAAUAGAUGGUGACUAGGGCCUAUGCUUGCAGUGGAGGGGCCUUCUGUGUUCUAGCCUUGGUGAUCUUAGCAACUUUAAGCCUGUCAACAAUGUCUGAUUUUAAGAAUAUAGCAGUGUGGGAAGAUGGUCAUGUACCUUUAAAUGUCUCAGGAACUGAAAGUUCAGAGACGAAAAUGUCUCACACCACCAUGAUCCCGAUGAACUCAAUGGCUACAAUGAAUUCAACUGCUGCACUCAUUAUUUCCCAGCAAAUAGAAGAGAAAUUAAUUGUAACUAUUAAGAACAUGACUGUUCCAGAAAAGCCUCCCCCCACCCCUUUUGGGAAAGUUUUGUUUAGCAUGAUUCAAAACAGUAACAAUUCUUUUAGAAAGAUCAUAAACAAGUUCCAACAAGUUAAAUAAACUUAUCGAGAGUUAACUAUGGUUAUAAAAGUUUCCAUAUUAUUCUGAGGGGCCAUAAAUAUAAAGUUUAAACUUUAUUAAAACAAAGGUAAAUGUUGAAUGCAUAUCUGGUGCCCACAAGUCUGGCAGUAUAACUGCAGUUUUCUAAACUAUUGUUUGCGGUUAAGAAUUGUUUCCUAGACUGUACGUUCUGCUUUCCUCCUUGCAAGGGACAUUUGGUGGGGUGAUAAAUAAAAGCUGAAUAACUGCCAAUUAUAAUGUACCUGUUCUAACUGCUUAAAUCUAUGCCAAGAAGUAAAGCUUUUUGCAGCAGCACACACCUCAAGUUUGUGUCUGUCUGUCAUGCCAAAUCCGUUCUCUACCUAAAAUCCAAGCCUUGGUCCCUCUGCUGACACACU
rnacentral:sRNA from 1 species